UACAGAGGUCCCAAGCGUUCGUUCGGAUUCACUGGGCGUAAAGGGUGCGUAGGUGGCCAGGUAAGUUGUGGUGAAGAGCUCGGAGCUUAACUCCGAAAUGGCAUUGAAUACUAUCUGGCUGGAGGGUCGGAGGGGAGACUGGAAUUCGUCGGUGUAGCAGUGAAAUGCGUAGAUAUCGAGAGGAACACCAGUGGCGAAGGCGAGUCUCUGGACGACACCUGACACUGAGGCACGAAAAGCUAGGGGAGCAAACAGG
rnacentral:rRNA from 1 species